rnacentral:rRNA from 1 species
UAGGGAAUCUUCCGCAAUGGGCGAAAGCCUGACGGAGCAACGCCGCGUGAGUGAAGAAGGAUUUCGGUUCGUAAAGCUCUGUUGUUAGGGAAGAAUGAUUGUGUAGUAACUAUACACAGUAGAGACGGUACCUAACCAGAAAGCCACGGCUAACUACGUGCCAGCAGCCGCGGUAAUACGUAGGUGGCAGGCGUUGUCCGGAAUUAUUGGGCGUAAAGCGCGCGCAGGUGGUUUAGUAAGUCUGAUGUGAAAGCCCACGGCUCAACCGUGGAGGGUCUUGGGAAACUGUAANAUGUGANAGAGAAAGGNAUCUGGAUUCCUAUGANCGUGAAUGCGAAGUUAGAGAAACUNGGAGAAACCCGGGGGANGNNCGGCUUUUUGGCCUGUAACUGACACUGAGGCGCGAAAGCGUGGGGAGCAAACAGGAUUAGAUACCCUGGUAGUCCACGCCGUAAACGAUGAGUGCUAAGUGUUGGUCUCAUAAGAGAUCAGUGCUGCAGCUAACGCAUUAAGCACUCCGCCUGGGGAGUACGACCGCAAGGUUG